CCUACGGGUGGCAGCAGUAGGGAAUAUUGCUCAAUGGUGGAAACCCUGAAGCAGCAACGCCGCGUGAGGGAUGAAGGUUUAGGAUUGUAAACUCCUUUUGUGAGAGAAGAUAAUGACGGUAUCUCACCAAUAAGCACCUGCGAACUCCGUGCCAGCAUCCGCUGUAAUACGGAGGGUGCAAGCGUUACUCGGAAUCACUGGGCGUAAAGAGUGCUCUGGCGGGCUUGUAAGUCAGAUGGGAAAUCCUGUAGCUUAACUACAGAACCGCAUUUGAAACUAGGAGUCUAGAGUGUGAGAGAGGUAGGUGGAAUUCGUGGUGUAGGGGUAAAAUCCGUAGAUAUCAAGAGGAAU
rnacentral:rRNA from 1 species